CCUACGGGGGGCAGCAGUGGGGAAUAUUGCACAAUGGGGGAAACCCUGAUGCAGCAACGCCGCGUGGGUGAAGGAGCGUUUCGGCGCGUAAAGCCCUGUCAGCGGGGAAGAAGAAAGACGGUACCCGACCAAGAAGCCCCGGCUAACUACGUGCCAGCAGCCGCGGUAAUACGUAGGGGGCGAGCGUUAUCCGGAAUUACUGGGUGUAAAGGGAGCGUAGACGGCGAGGUAAGCCUGAAGUGGAAGCCCGCGGCCCAACCGCGGAACUGCUUUGGGAACUGUUUUGCUGGAGUAUGGGAGGGGUA
rnacentral:rRNA from 1 species